AGAGGGUUCCGCCCGCCUUCCUCCGGUCCACGGAGAGGACUGGCUGUUCCCAGCCCCUCAGAAAAGCUGUGGCCACACCCGCAGCCCCUCCACUCGGCCCGCUCCCUCCCGGGCUGGGCCGGGGGUUCCUUCCCCGCGCUGUACCGAGGGUCCCGCGGGCCGGUGCGCGGGGGUCAGAGGGGCUCCUCGCCACGCGCUGAGCGCCGCCACGUGCGGGGGGCGCCGGGAAGCCAGGUGGACAAAGUCGGGGACACGAUCCCGGGAAACCCGCGAGAAGGGUUCUGAGAUGGGUAGCCCCUGCUUACGGUGGCCUGCGUGGCCCUGGCGCCCGCUGACAGUGGCCCAAACUUUCUCCAGUGUUCUCCAACCGCUUCCUCCCGCAGCCUCUGGGAACCCGGAAGGCGGGGAUGCAAGGGCGGCGGCUGCGGGCCCACCAGCUGCCCCCCCAAGACCCUCUCUUCCCUGCUAGGCACCAGAGCUGACUUACGGAGGCGCGGGGGAACACGCACCCCGCCACUCCCCGCCCGUGGGACCCCAGUUUAGACAUGGUUUCUGGAUCCUCAUCAUCACCUUCUCUCAAAGGCAUGUGGCACCUUGUCACCAUCCCUGAAAAAGGCUGGCACCAAGAACUGAAUGCAGAAUUUAAGAUUUACUUCAAGUCUAUAAGUUCUGCAAGAUAUGCAUCCCAGAAAUGGACAUAGAAUGUGACUGGGGCGAGUCCUGAAUCUUCUAAACUUGUGCUGGUGAUGGAGAAGCCUUUUUGGUAACAUGGGGUAACAAUGAAGCGAAGGUCAAGAGAAUCUCUGAGAACUGAGUUCUGACAUCCUUGAGCAGCUAAACCAAUGCCUGCCUUAGGGCUGUUCAUAGAAUGAGAAAAGUAACUCUCUAAAUUGGUUAAGCUACUUUUUGGGGAUUUCAACUAUUAACAGACACCCAUGAUUCCGAAGUGAUACAUCUGUCCUAGAAUCCUGACCAUCACUGCUCUGUCAUUUGAAGACUCCAUCUUCUUCUGUGAUAUAGAAUAAAGAAGAUAUUUGACAAUUUUCUGAUUUCUAGCACCACUGACUUCCCCACAAUUCCAAGGUCUACAUGCCAGUGAUCUUGUUGGCAACUCAUCUUCAUGAUGACCUGGGUAAUUUGUUUAGUCCGCGAGAUUUCACCUCAUGUGGAGCCGCUAUCAUUCCAGUCACUUUUCUUGGACUUCGGGUCUCCCAUGCCAGCACAGGUUUCACCCUCUUCAGUCCAACAAGCACUGUCACUGACAAAGAUGAAAGCCAAGGAGAAGAGCCACUCUGAUUUCUAUCGUCCUCUACUUUUACAGCCCCUCCUCCCGCCACAAAUGCUGGGCCCUGCACGUAUUAUUCUUUCAGACAGGAGAAGAAAGUCUGCUUUGUUGAUCUUGACAUUUCUUGCAUGUCUCGGCUCAGGUUAGUCUCCAACCUGCAUUACUCAACUCCCAAUAUAUGUUUGCAGAUUGAAUGAAUGUGUCUAAGAUAUGAAAAAACUAAUGAAUUCAAUCAACCAUGGAAAUACGACAAGGAAUUCUCAGUUGCUCAGAGAGUGCAGCCAUGGUUUGGGGUUUCGCUUCUGCUGCUCGGACAGUGUGGGCCGACUGCACUACACGACGAUAUGUGUGUAGUGAGAUUCACUAUUCAAAAAUACUGGGAGCCUACUUUCCAGAACAUACUUGGAAAACAAGUUACAAAAGAAAGAAGUGCAUGAAUUUAUUAUUUUGGGGGCCAGCCCUCUCUCUGCUGGGUUAAAUCCAAGUUCCUUCUCUGCUUUUGCCUUCUAACUAGUUUUUGUUUGUUUGUUUGUUUAGGAACAGAGGGUGAUUCUAUCAAACCUAAUCAGAAAUACGCUAAAUGAUCUAGUAAGUGUUGUCUACUUUAAAAAUCUGCAUUGUCUCUAAUUUCAGAAAGUACUUGCAUUAAGCAGGGCUAUUUUUGUCGUGUGAAACAGAGGAGGAUUGGCAAACUUUUUUAGAUAAUAAAUAUUUCAGGCUUCACAAGUCAUAUGA